AUACGUAGGGAGCGAGCGUUGUCCGGAAUUACUGGGUGUAAAGGGAGCGUAGGCGGGAGUGCAAGUCAGAUGUGAAAUACAUGGGCUCAACCCAUGGGCUGCAUUUGAAACUGCAUUUCUUGAGUGAAGUAGAGGUAAGCGGAAUUCCUGGUGUAUCGGUGAAAUGCGUAGAUAUCAGGAGGAACACCGGUGGCGAAGGCGGCUUACUGGGCUUUUACUGACGCUGAGGCUCGAAAGCGUGGGGAGCAAACAGGAUUAGAUACCCUGGUAGUCCACGCUGUAAACGAUGAUUACUAGGUGUGGGGGGACUGACCCCUUCCGUGCCGCAGUUAACACAAUAAGUAAUCCACCUGGGGAGUACGGCCGCAAGGUUGAAACUCAAAUGAAUUGACGGGG
rnacentral:rRNA from 1 species